UAUUUAAAACUGUGGGCACAUAUGUGUGCAUGUGCAUGUGUGUACAUACACCUGCACAUGCAUGAAGGCACAUAUACCAGAACACAUUUAGA
rnacentral:miRNA from 1 species